UCUAUCCUACGGGGGGCAGCAGUGAGGAAUAUUGGUCAAUGGGCGCGAGCCUGAACCAGCCAAGUCGCGUGAGGGAAGACGGUCCUAUGGAUUGUAAACCUCUUUUGUCGGGGAGCAAAAGACGCCACGCGUGGCGUUCCGAGAGUACCCGAAGAAAAAGCAUCGGCUAACUCCGUGCCAGCAGCCGCGGUAAUACGGAGGAUGCGAGCGUUAUCCGGAUUUAUUGGGUUUAAAGGGUGCGUAGGCGGACAGUCAAGUCAGCGGUAAAAAUGCGGUGCUCAACGCCGUACAGCCGUUGAAACUGG
rnacentral:rRNA from 1 species